AGAGUUUGAUCCUGGCUCAGAACUAACGCUGGCGGCGUGCCUAACACAUGCAAGUCGUACGAGAAAGUUGGCUUCGGCCGAUGAGUAAAGUGGCGCACGGGUGAGUAACGCGUGGAUAAUCUGCCCUUUAGUUCGGAAUAACGUACCGAAAGGUGCGCUAAUACCGGGUAAUACUGAGUGACUACUGUCAUUUAGUCAAAGAAGGCUUCUGUUUACAUGCUUUUGCUGAAGGAUGAGUCCGCGUACCAUUAGCUAGUUGGUAGGGUAAUGGCCUACCAAGGCGACGAUGGUUAGCUGGUCUGAGAGGAUGAUCAGCCACACUGGAACUGAGACACGGUCCAGACUCCUACGGGAGGCAGCAGUGAGGAAUAUUGCGCAAUGGGGGCAACCCUGACGCAGCAACGCCGCGUGGGUGAGGAAGGUUUUCGGACCGUAAAGCUCUGUCGAGCGGGAAGAAGUGCAUAGUGGCUAAUAUCCAUUAUGCUUGACGGUACCGCUAAAGGAAGCACCGGCUAACUCCGUGCCAGCAGCCGCGGUAAUACGGGGGGUGCAAGCGUUGUUCGGAAUUAUUGGGCGUAAAGAGCGUGUAGGCGGCUGAAUAAGUCAGAUGUGAAAUCCCUGGGCUUAACUCAGGAAGUGCAUUUGAAACUAUUCAGCUUGAGUAGGGGAGAGGAAAGUGGAAUUCCUGGUGUAGAGGUGAAAUUCGUAGAUAUCAGGAGGAACACCGGUGGCGAAGGCGACUUUCUGGCCCUAUACUGACGCUGAGACGCGAGAGCGUGGGUAGCAAACAGGAUUAGAUACCCUGGUAGUCCACGCCGUAAACGAUGUUCACUAGGUGUUGGGGGUAUUGACCCUCUCAGUGCCGCAGUUAACGCAUUAUGGGAACCGCAUGGGGAGUACGGUCGCAAGAUUAAAACUCAAAGGAAUUGACGG
rnacentral:rRNA from 1 species